UAGGGAAUCUUCCACAAUGGGCGAAAGCCUGAUGGAGCCAACGCCGCGUGUGUGAUGAAGGGUUUCGGCUCGUAAACACUGUUGUAAGAGAAGAAUGACAUUGAGAGUAACUGUUCAAUGUGUGACGGUAUCUUACCAGAAAGGAACGGCUAAAUACGUGCCAG
rnacentral:rRNA from 1 species